AUUGAACGCUGGCGGCAGGCUUAACACAUGCAAGUCGAGCGGGGUGAUGGUGCUUGCACUAUCACUUAGCGGCGGACGGGUGAGUAAUGCUUAGGAAUCUGCCUAUUAGUGGGGGACAACAUCUCGAAAGGGAUGCUAAUACCGCAUACGUCCUACGGGAGAAAGCAGGGGAUCACUUGUGACCUUGCGCUAAUAGAUGAGCCUAAGUCGGAUUAGCUAGUUGGUGGGGUAAAGGCCUACCAAGGCGACGAUCUGUAGCGGGUCUGAGAGGAUGAUCCGCCACACUGGGACCGAGACACGACCCAGACUCCUACGGGAGGCAGCAGUGGGGAAUAUUGGACAAUGGGGGGAACCCUGAUCCAGCCAUGCCGCGUGUGUGAAGAAGGCCUUAUGGUUGUAAAGCACUUUAAGCGAGGAGGAGGCUCUUUUGGUUAAUACCCAAGAUGAGUGGACGUUACUCGCAGAAUAAGCACCGGCUAACUCUGUGCCAGCAGCCGCCGUAA
rnacentral:rRNA from 1 species